AAACGGCGUAUCGCUGCUUUAUCUUCUCAGUAUGAGAACCAGUCUGAAUUAUUCUCUACAGGCCAGUUAUGUUUGCAAAAGUCUCUGUGUUAAAUGUGAAUGAAUGUAUGUGCUGUGAACGUGUUCAGCAGAAGUAGAACAGCGCCGUCCAGUGGUGAAAGAACGACACGGGAAACAUUUUGACUUUGUUUUGUGGUGGUCGUCGUGUUUCUGAUACUGGUCUCCUAGCAACGGCUGGCGUCCCUCAGUCCUGUACGCGCGCAAGACGACGGGGGCAGCGGCACACGCGCGGGAACUGAGCGCCAACGAGCACCAGUGCGUGCACGAGCAGCCGCGCGCCUCUAUCUCCACAUCAUGGCAAAAUAGGCGCAACAUCUCAAAAACAACCCAGAGAGUCUCCAAGAAAUCUCCAGAAAGCCAAUACAAUCAAGUUCACUCAGAAAUAAUUCAGAAAUCAAAUAAAGUGAAAAUUAAUCUCUUGAAACUA